UGGGGAAUUUUGCACAAUGGGGGAAACCCUGAUGCAGCGACGCCGCGUGAUUUAGAAGGCCUUCGGGUUGUAAAAAUCUUUUGUAUGGGAAGAAAAUGACAGUACCAUACGAAUAAGGACCGGCUAAUUACGUGUCAGCAGCCGCGGUAAUACGUAAGGUCCGAGCGUUGUCCGGAAUCAUUGGGCGUAAAGGGUACGUAGGCGGAUAAGCAAGUUAGAAGUGAAAUCCUAUAGCUCAACUAUAGUAAGCUUUUAAAACUGCUCAUCUUGAGGUAUGGAAGGGAAAGUGGAAUUCCUAGUGUAGCGGUGAAAUGCGCAGAUAUUAGGAGGAAUACCGGUGGCGAAGGCGACUUUCUGGCCAUAUACUGACGCUGAGGUACGAAAGCGUGGGUAGCAAACAGG
rnacentral:rRNA from 1 species